rnacentral:lncRNA from 1 species
AGUAGAAAGCAAGCAAGCGAGCAUAUGAUAUUCAGUGUGGGAGUAUCUUUUGGUGAUUGCGUGUUUGUAAGACUAUAUGUGCAAACAUCUGCUUAUGUGUACUCCAUUAAUAGAGUCUUGUGAUUUUUAAAAUGCAUGUGUGUUAUGAAAAAGUGUGUGAUACAAUGUAGUCAGAGUAUAUUUUCUAGGAAAGAGAACGUGCAAUGUGACCAACCAUGCCAUUGUGUUCUUAUGAGAAAUUUCUUUAGGCAGUAGGUAAAACUUCAAAACUAUAAUUCUUUUCUUCCCCCUAGAAAAAGAAAAAAAAAGAAAAAGAAAAAGAAUUCUGGUUUAAAACAUAACAUGCUGACAGCAACUGAAGUCUCUCUAAUGGCCUGUCUAGUCUGGACUAUCCAGUGUGUCUUCCACGAACCCUGGAUUUUUCUGACACUAAAUAUCAUCUGACAUCCACCAAUGUAAGUAGAGGGAAAAGGAGCGGAAUCUAAAAUGUCAAAACACAUCACUGAAAGAUUACAAAGGCAUCUGUCUCAGCUAGGGAAGAAGAACCAGAACUGUCCAGCUCUGAAUAUAAUGUUACUGAAUCCUGAAUGCAUGACUCUCGAUCUGGUUCCUGUUCCGGAAAUCUCAAGCUCAUGGCCUUAUUCAAGGAGUGUGAGGAAGCAUGUAAAAAAGUGGAUGGGAAAGAAAACCAUGCAACAGAUAAAUAAUUCAUCUUACUACAGUGCUGAUCAGCCGCCUGGGGGGAUAACAAAUGUAUGA